rnacentral:lncRNA from 1 species
CCCACCCCCAUCUGCCCCGCCCCAUCUACCAAUGACCCCGCCCCAUCUACAACGAACCCCGCCCCAUCUACCACUGCCCCACCCCCAUCUGCCCCUGCCCCCGCCCCAUCUACAACGAACCCCGCCCCAUCUACCACUGCCCCGCCCCAUAUAUCACUGACUUGUCAAUCAAACUACUGACUGAUAUUAAAAUGAGAGGAGAGACAGAGAGACUGGAGAGAGACUGGAGAGAGACUGGAGAGAGUGGAGAGAGACUGGAGAGAGACUGGAGAGAGACUGGAGAGAGUGGAGAGAGACUGGAGAGAGACUGGAGAGAGUGGAGAGAGACUGGAGAGAGACUGGAGAGAGACUGGAGAGAGACAGCAGCUGGAGAGAGACUGGAGAGAGACUGGAGAAAGACUGGAGAGAGACUGGAGAAAGACUGGAGAGAGACUGGAGAAAGACUGGAGAGAGACUGGAGAGAGACUGGAGAGAGACUGGAGAGAGACUGGAGAGAGACUGGAGAGAGACUGGAGAGAGACAGCAGCUGGAGAGAGACUGGAGAGAGACUGGAGAGAGACUGGAGAGAGACUGGAGAGAGACUGGAGAGAGACAGCAGCUGGAGAAAGACUGGAGAGAGACUGGAGAGAGACUGGAGAGAGACUGGAGAAAGACUGGAGAGAGACUGGAGAGAGACUGGAGAGAGACUGGAGAGAGACUGGAGAGAGACAGCAGCUGGAGAGAGACUGGAGAGAGACUGGAGAGAGACUGGAGAGAGACUGGAGAGAGACUGGAGAGAGACAGCAGCUGGAGAGAGACUGGAGAAAGACUGGAGAGAGACUGGAGAGAGACUGGAGAGAGACUGGAGAGAGACAGGAGAGAGACUGGAGAGAGACUGGAGAGAGACAGGAGAGAGACUGGAGAGAGACUGGAGAGAGACUGGAGAGAGACUGGAGAGAGACUGGAGAGAGACAGCAGCUGGAGAGAGACUGGAGAAAGACUGGAGAGAGACUGGAGAAAGACUGGAGAGAGACUGGAGAAAGACUGGAGAGAGACUGGAGAAAGACUGGAGAGAGACUGGAGAGAGACUGGAGAGAGACUGGAGAGAGACUGGAGAGAGACUGGAGAGAGACAGAGGAAAAAAUGCCAUCAGGGAGACAUGAGAGGACCAGAGAGCAGAGCAACACUGAUGCCACUCACACCACACAUUCCACUAGGACCUGUGUGUGUGUGUGUGUGUGUGUGUGUGUGUGUGUGUGUGUGUGUGUGUGUGUGUGUGUGUGUGUGUGUGUGUGUGUGUGCCCUGUAUUCUCUGUAGCAGUAAGAGAUGACUGUGUUAGUGAGUUAGUGAACAACACACCUGCUGUACCAAACACUGUAAAGGACAACACGGUAACAGCAGUCUGUCAGGACAACACGGUAACAGCAGUCUGUAAAGGACAACACGGUAACAGCAGUCUGUCAGGACAACACGGUAACAGCAGUCUGUAAAGGACAACACGGUAACAGCAGUCUGUCAGGACAACACGGUAACAGCAGUCUGUCAGGACAACACGGUAACAGCAGUCUUCUGUUCUGAUGCUCUGCUUGUGUCUAGAACACAUAUAAAUUCCUUUGCGUUUGUACUGAGUGUCUGAAUAUAUGUUUGUCAGUACUAUCCUACGUAUACUAGUAAACACAAACAGGAUAUUGAAUAUGACUGUUGUAUGAAGACUUUGUAGUGAGGACCUGCAGGGAGGGUAAUAUACUACCACAGAGCAAACUGGCCUAUUAUAUUCUGAUACAUCUCUUCAUUUUUAGAAAGAUGGACUGAUUGACUCGACAGCCCUUCACAACAUCGAAGGUUUUCAGAUUUCUAAUUAUUAAACCUAUAAACAUAUCUGUGGUUUAAUUAUUGGUUUGUUUCUGAAAGUUAGCCGGCUAAACUCAUUGAUCCUGCUUUGUAGUGUUACCCACCCCUCCCUCUGAUAUCUGUCGUGAUGGUUAAAACCAUGUGAUUUAAACACAUAUCUUUAUUUCUUUUAACUGUAAUGACAUAUGUUUCAAUAAAGUUAUUUCACCUUUU